rnacentral:rRNA from 1 species
UACAGAGGGGGGCAAGCGUUUGUUCGGAAUUACUGGGCGUAAAGGGCGCGUAGGCGGCUUGUACAGUCAGACGUGAAAUUCCUGGGCUCAACCUGGGGGGCUGCGUUUUGAUACGUGCGGGCUUGAGUUCGGAAGAGGGUCGUGGAAUUCCCAGUGUAGAGGUGAAAUUCGUAGAUAUUGGGAAGAACACCGGGUGGCGAAGGCGGCGACCUGGUCCGAUACUGACGCUGAGGCGCGAAAGCGUGGGGAGCAAACAGG